rnacentral:piRNA from 1 species
UCACUGAAUGGAAAGGUGCCAUCUGCCUC